UAGGGAAUCUUCCGCAAUGGGCGAAAGCCUGACGGAGCAACGCCGCGUGAGUGAUGAAGGUCUUAGGAUCGUAAAACUCUGUUAUUAGGGAAGAACAAACGUGUAAGUAACUGUGCACGUCUUGACGGUACCUAAUCAGAAAGCCACGGCUAACUACGUGCCAGCAGCCGCGGUAAUACGUAGGUGGCAAGCGUUAUCCGGAAUUAUUGGGCGUAAAGCGCGCGUAGGCGGUUUUUUAAGUCGGAUGGGAAAGCCCACGGCUCAACCGUGGAGGGUCAUUGGAAACUGGAAAACUUGAGUGCAGAAGAGGAAAGUGGAAUUCCAUGUGUAGCGGUGAAAUGCGCAGAGAUAUGGAGGAACACCAGUGGCGAAGGCGACUUUCUGGUCUGUAACUGACGCUGAUGUGCGAAAGCGUGGGGAUCAAACA
rnacentral:rRNA from 1 species